GUCUACGGCCAUUCCACUCUGAACAAGCCCGAUGUCUGAUCUCAGAAGCUAAGCAGGGUCAGGCCUGGUUAAUAUUUGAGGGACACCACCUAGGAAGACCAGGUGCUGUAGGCG
rnacentral:rRNA from 1 species